rnacentral:rRNA from 1 species
UCUGGUGAUUAUGGCUUGAAGGUAACACCCGUUCCCAUGCCGAACACGAAGGUUAAGCUUCAAAGCGCUGAUGGUACUGCAGGGGAAGCCCUGUGGAAGAGUAAGUCGUUGCCAGAUGGAAUAUGGAUCUUUAGCUCAGUUGGUUAGAGCAACCGGCUCAUAACCGGUAGGUCCGGGGUUCGAGUCCCUGAAGG